AAACAAUGCAUGAACAAGUAGAAGAGCCAGAAAGUGAUAAUAGCAGAGCAGCUAUUUUUGUUAGAGUGGAAGCAGAGGAGAAAACGAGUUGAAAUGCAGAAAAACAUAAAGAACAGGCCUCGUCCUCAAAGAGCCUCCAACUCAGUGAUAUCACAAAAUAGAGAACUGUGAUUAAGAAAAAAGAGAGACUCCAGACAAACUUAAGAGAAGAAUCAAUAGGACUUUGUGUCUGAUUGGGUAAGAGGUGGCAAGAAAGGUAUUUAUCAAGCGCUGGUGAAGGAGGCGGAGUUAAGGACCUGUGCUCUGGUCCUCACAUUCCCAGAAUUCUAUGGUCCACCAGUCUUGUCAUCCCAGGAAGGAAAGCAACAUCUCUGCCUAUCUUCUGUACCUCUGGUUUUAGUCCAUUUUAGUGGAGACUUUGUUAACAAGAAGCAAAAGCUAUAUUCUGAAAUGUUUUAUUUCCAUUUCUUUCAG